UAUCCGGGACGACCCGGUUACUUUUGUUUGAAGCGGGACGACCCG
rnacentral:ncRNA from 1 species